rnacentral:rRNA from 1 species
AUGGUGUCUUGAACACUGGGCUCUCAAGCUAACGCAUUAAGUAGACCGCCUGGGGAGUACGGCCGCAAGGUUAAAACUCAAAUGAAUUGACGGGGGCCCGCACAAGCGGUGGAGCAUGUGGUUUAAUUCGAUGCAACGCGAAGAACCUUACCUACUCUUGACAUCCAGAGAAUUCGCUAGAGAUGGCUUAGUGCCUUCGGGAACUCUGAGACAGGUGCUGCAUGGCUGUCGUCAGCUCGUGUUGUGAAAUGUUGGGUUAAGUCCCGCAACGAGCGCAACCCUUAUCCUUAUUUGCCAGCACGUAAUGGUGGGGACUCUAGGGAGACUGCCGGUGAUAAACCGGAGGAAGGUGGGGACGACGUCAAGUCAUCAUGGCCCUUACGAGUAGGGCUACACACGUGCUACAAUGGCGAGUACAGAGGGUCGCAAAGCCGCGAGGUGGAGCUAAUCUCACAAAGCUCGUCGUAGUCCGGAUUGGAGUCUGCAACUCGACUCCAUGAAGUCGGAAUCGCUAGUAAUCGUGGAUCAGAAUGCCACGGUGAAUACGUUCCCGGGCCUUGUACACACCGCCCGUCACACCAUGGGAGUGGGCUGCAAAAGAAGUGGGUAGCUUAACCUUCGGGAGGGCGCUCACCACUU